rnacentral:rRNA from 1 species
GCAGAACGCGAAGAACCUUACCAGGUCUUGACAUCCUCUGACAACUCUAGAGAUAGAGCGUUCCCCUUCGGAGGACAGAGUGACAGGUGGUGCGUGGUUGUCGUCAGCUCGUGUCGUGAGAUGUUGGGUUAAGUCCCGCAACGAGCGCAACCCUUGAUCUUAGUUGCCAGCAUUUAGUUGGGCACUCUAAGGUGACUGCCGGUGACAAACCGGAGGAAGGUGGGGAUGACGUCAAAUCAUCAUGCCCCUUAUGACCUGGGCUACACACGUGCUACAAUGGAUGGUACAAAGGGCUGCAAGACCGCGAGGUCAAGCCAAUCCCAUAAAACCAUUCUCAGUUCGGAUUGUAGGCUGCAACUCGCCUACAUGAAGCUGGAAUCGCUAGUAAUCACGGAUCAGCAUGCCGCGGUGAAUACGUUCCCGGG